rnacentral:lncRNA from 1 species
AAUAAAAAGGUCUAUAUAAAUUUAGAAAACGAAUUUGAAGAAAUAGAGAAGAAGAUCUAUGAGGAGGCGGAGGAUUUCUGGCGAGAAGUAUGCACAGAAGUAUGCACAACCAUCUCAGCUUAUAUUGUGGACAGUGAAGAUGAAUUCACUUCCGCAUUAGAAGACAAUACCGAUGAUGAUUGUUGAAGAAAGCGAUAGCGAGAAAGAAUUUUGGCAAAAAUUGGAAAGAAAGAAAAAAGAGGAGCAAGGUUCAAUUGCAUACGCACAAAGGAUUAUGAACUAUAGACUAGACUCGGUCAACGAUGAGCUCUUUAACAUAAGAGUCGAACAAAAAGAAAUAGCGAAGAUGGUGAUCGGGCUUGAAGC